rnacentral:rRNA from 1 species
GAUGAACGCUGGCGGCGUGCCUAAUACAUGCAAGUCGAGCGAACAGACGAGGCGCUUGCUCCUCUGACGUUAGCGGCGGACGGGUGAGUAACACGUGGAUAACCUACCUAUAAGACUGGGAUAACUUCGGGAAACCGGAUCUAAUACCGGAUAACAUGUUGAACCGCAUGGUUCAACAGUGAAAGACGGUUUUGCUGUCACUUAUCGAUGGAUCCGCGUCGCAUUAGCUAGUUGGUAAGGUAACGGCUUACCAAGGCAACGAUGCGUAGCCGACCUGAGAGGGUGAUAGGCCACACUGGAACUGAGACACGGUCAAGACUCCUACGGGAGGCAGCAGUAGGGAAUCUUCCGCAAUGGGCGAAAGCAUGACGGAGCAACGCCGCGUGAGUGAAGAAGGUCUUCGGAUCGUAAAACUCUGUUAUUAGGGAAGAACAAAUGUGUAAGUAACUAUGCACGUCGUGACGGUACCUAAUCAGAAAGCCACGGCUAACUACGUG